rnacentral:misc_RNA from 1 species
UGUAGAGAUUAUUUUGAGUGGAAGACAUCCGCAUGUCCGGGCAAGCGGACUAAAAUCUAAGCACUUCUUAGUUAAUAUUACAGUCUAGAUAGGUGAAAUAUCAUCCACGUCCAAGCCUUCUUUAGCUAAUUAAGCAAGUCUCAAAGACGCACCCCGGAGGAAAUCAAGACGCAGGUGGACUCCUUCCGCCAGAAGUUGAUGGGACAGGGAAAAACAGAUCUGGCCAAGGAUGAAUUCGGACGCGUAGCUGCUCGCGACACCCAUCAAAUAGCCGAGGCUCAACAGCAGAAGAACGCCAAGCUGCGCGAGGCCUUCAACAUAUCCGAGUACUUUGUCGAGGGCAGCAGCUUCGACAGCGAUCGCAAGGCGAAGGAGGACCUGGCCAAAAGCGUGGCUCUCCAAAAGGAACUGGACGCCCAGCGCGAGAGCCUGGCAGCGGCGGCAGCUGCCGCAGCAGCCGGCAAGGACAAGGAGACCGGGAAGCGGUAUGCUCUAGUGCGCACUCCUUCCCGCGAACGGGAUCGCGAUGGUGGCGAUGCGGCGGCCAGUGGCGAUGAACGUGGCGAUCAUGUCUCCAAGACGGACAAGAAGAAGCGCAAGAAGCGCGCCAGAGAGAGUUCGGCCAGUCCUGAGCGCAAGAAGGACAAGAAGAAGAAGUCGAAGAAGCACAAGAAAGAGAGGUAAGAGUCCUGGCCGGAAUCCAAAACUUCAAUCCCUCGACAACCGUAGCUCUGUGUUUGUUUCCUUUGCUCUUUGGUUGGACUCUACAGUCAUGUUUUUUGAUUUGUUUCUUACCGUACAUAGUAAACUGUAAACACGUGCGCUUAGAGCGUGAAAACCAAUGAUACUAUGUAACUAUCAAUCAACUGCUUAAUACAUUUUGUUUUUCGUCUCUACUCCUUCUUUUACAUUGCAUUUGAAACCACAAAAGGGACUCAUAUGAGAAAGAAAGUAAAAAGAAGCGAAAAGCCACGUACAAAUGAAUCACACUUAGUUUUAACCAAGCUAACACUAUCCAACAAACUAUAAGAACCAAUCCAAUCAAGUGAAAUGUUUCAAAUGCCUUUCUGCAAUAUAUACUUUCGAUAUCCUAACACUUGCCAAGACAAUCUUUUAUUUGAAUCCGUGUGCAGCGAGAGUGAGUAGAGUGAUCAGGGAUCUAAGUACGUAUGGGUUCUCCACUAGCCAACACUUCACACACCACCACCCAUCCACCCACCCACUCACUCGAAAGCCCAACCAACCCAACUAGAUCCAAACUAACCAUCUAACCAACUGAUCACAGAUACUUCCCCCACAAUUCGCCCACUCACAUUCCCCCAAACUCUGCCCGGCGGUAAGUAAUAAUUCGAUUCUACAAUCUUAAAACCAUAGAAAUUGCAUUGCCAACUUAAACUACAAUACCAAAUACAAAAUACAAAAUACCAAAUACAAGUAAAGAACUACUAGAACUUACAACAAUAAGCGAUAUUGUUAAGAGGUCUCUCUGUGUGUUGCAAAAAUUAAAAGCGAAUUACUUUCUCAUCUUUCUUUCUAUUAUUAUGAUUACCUUCUAUAAUGUUAAGACAAAGCAAUUUGCGCAGUUUUCGAUGAAGUAAGUCGAAGAAGAAAAAGUCGCGAAAGCGCAAGCACAGCGAAAGUGGCCGGGACAGCGACCGGGAUAGCGAUGACGACGACGACAGCAGCG